CAGCCGCCGCGGGAAUACGAAGGGUGCAAGCGUUAAUCGGAAUUACUGGCGUAAAGCGUGCGUAGGCGGUGAGUUAAGUCUGUUGUGAAAUCCCCGGGCUCAACCUGGGAAUGGCAGUGGAUACUGGCUCGCUAGAGUGUGUCAGAGGAUGGUGGAAUUCCCGGUGUAGCGGUGAAAUGCGUAGAGAUCGGGAGGAACAUCAGUGGCGAAGGCGGCCAUCUGGGACAACACUGACGCUGAGGCACGAAAGCGUGGGGGGCAAACAGGAUUAGAUACCCCCGUAGUCCCUGUCUCUUAUACA
rnacentral:rRNA from 1 species